rnacentral:lncRNA from 1 species
GGCACUGGCACUAGCAGAUAGGUUCACACAAACGCUAUGAUUCUUAACAUAUAUGAAUUUGGAGGGAAAUAGUCCAAAAUCAGAUGUGCUGGACAGGCCUGCACCCCCUUCCUAGACUGGCCCAGAUGUCACUGAGUUCAACGGCUGUUCAUCUCUGCACCUUUCCAAAUAAGCGCUUUCCCCAUUCCAGCUAUACAAUGGAUUGGUCAAGGCAGGGUGACAUUUCUUGAGUGACAGAUGUGUCUACUGCUGUGGCAGCACCAGCCCGCCCACUUGCUGGCAAUCUCUGGUUCCAGGAGGAGCAGUACUAUUUCCUUUGUUUGCCUCUGUGGGGAGAGGUGAACAGGGCUGGCUGAGGGUAGGGGUUUGAGAGAAACCGCUGGGAAGAGAGGAAAAGAGAGACCACCUCCUUAUGCCAGGGAUUAUUUUCUUUUUAAAAUACAUAUGUGCACAUUGUGAACAUAGAAGAAUUUACGCCAACUGGCAAGGAUCUAGAAGUUGUGCAGGGCUGGGAAAGUUUUAAAGGCGUGCAACUUCAAAUCCCAUGACAGAAAGCCUCCUCACGUCAGUCUUUCCCAAAUUGACCAGACAGGGAAGGAAAAUUGCAUUGGGACCACCGAGGAAAGGAAAAUGAUGUCCUGAUUUCUAAAUAUCAUAAUAGAUUCCAAAGGCUAAUUUCUCUUUUCAAGCUGCUAUUUUAUUUUUAUUUUUUGUUUCCCUCCUGUCCCCAGCUUAUAUUAAUAAAUCAUCUUGUCAACUGUUUCUCAAUGUGGAAUGUGUUCCUCAAAAAUCUGCUGAGAAAUCAGAUCCCCAGGGAUUUACGUGCACCUUGCGCUGUGAUGAUCAGCAAGAGCCCCGCCUGAGUAGGUCCUGAAGGGAGUCUCUUCAAUUAAGAGUCUUCCUUUUUCUUUUCAUAUAAGUUGAAUAGAUCUACAUGUGAGCAAUAUUGACUGAGGUUCUGCACUGUAUUUGCAAAACUAGCUUUGCGGGGAAUAAACUUGACUAACUGGAA